UACGUAGGGUGCAAGCGUUAAUCGGAAUUACUGGGCGUAAAGCGUGCGUAGGUGGUUUGUUAAGUCUGAUGUGAAAGCCCUGGGCUCAACCUGGGAAUGGCAUUGGAUACUGGCUUACUAGAGUGCGGUAGAGGGAUGCGGAAUUUCCGGUGUAGCGGUGAAAUGCGUAGAGAUCGGAAGGAACAUCUGUGGCGAAGGCGGCAUCCUGGACCAGCACUGACACUGAGGCACGAAAGCGUGGGGAGCAAACAGG
rnacentral:rRNA from 1 species